rnacentral:rRNA from 1 species
CUCAGAUUGAACGCUGGCGGCAGGCCUAACACAUGCAAGUCGAGCGGAUGANNNGAGCUUGCUCCUGGAUUCAGCGGCGGACGGGUGAGUAAUGCCUAGGAAUCUGCCUGGUAGUGGGGGACAACGUUUCGAAAGGAACGCUAAUACCGCAUACGUCCUACGGGAGAAAGCAGGGGACCUUCGGGCCUUGCGCUAUCAGAUGAGCCUAGGUCGGAUUAGCUUGUUGGUGAGGUAAUGGCUCACCAAGGCGACGAUCCGUAACUGGUCUGAGAGGAUGAUCAGUCACACUGGAACUGAGACACGGUCCAGACUCCUACGGGAGGCAGCAGUGGGGAAUAUUGGACAAUGGGCGAAAGCCUGAUCCAGCCAUGCCGCGUGUGUGAAGAAGGUCUUCGGAUUGUAAAGCACUUUAAGUUGGGAGGAAGGGUUGUAGAUUAAUACUCUGCAAUUUUGACGUUACCGACAGAAUAAGCACCGGCUAACUCUGUGCCAGCA